UACGUAGGGGGCAAGCGUUGUCCGGAAUCAUUGGGCGUAAAGAGCGUGUAGGCGGUCCGGUAAGUCCGCUGUGAAAGUCGAGGGCUCAACCCUCGAAUGCCGGUGGAUACUGUCGGGCUUGAGUACGGGAGAGGCGAGUGGAAUUCCUGGUGUAGCGGUGAAAUGCGCAGAUAUCAGGAGGAACACCGGUGGCGAAGGCGGUUCUCUGGGCCUGUUCUGACGCUGGAGGAGCGAAAGCAUGGGGGAGCGAACAGG
rnacentral:rRNA from 1 species